GAUGAACGCUGGCGGCGUGCCUAAUACAUGCAAGUCGAGCGAACAGACGAGGAGCUUGCUCCUCUGACGUUAGCGGCGGACGGGUGAGCAACACGUGGAUAACCUACCUAUAAGACUGGGAUAACUUCGGGAAACCGGAGCUAAUACCGGAUAAUAUAUUGAACCGCAUGGUUCAAUAGUGAAAGACGGUUUUGCUGUCACUUAUAGAUGGAUCCGCGCCGCAUUAGCUAGUUGGUAAGGUAACGGCUUACCAGGGCAACGAUGCGUAGCCGACCUGAGAGGGUGAUCGGCCACACUGGAACUGAGACACGGUCCAGACUCCUACGGGAGGCAGCAGUAGGGAAUCUUCCGCAAUGGGCGAAAGCCUGACGGAGCAACGCCGCGUGAGUGAUGAAGGUCUUCGGAUCGUAAAACUCUGUUAUUAGGGAAGAACAAAUGUGUAAGUAACUAUGCACGUCUUGACGGUACCUAAUCAGAAAGCCACGGCUAACUACGUG
rnacentral:rRNA from 1 species